rnacentral:sRNA from 1 species
GCCAGGCAUGGUGGCACAUGCCUGUAAUCUCAGCUACUAGAGAGGCUGAGGCAGGAGAAUCGCUUGAACCCGGGAGGUGGAGCUUGUGGUGAGCCGAGAUUGCACCAUUGCACUCCAGCCUGGGCAACCAAAGUGAAAUUCAAGAGAGGAAGUCUUUUUUUUUUUUUUUUGAGACAAAGUCUAGCUCUGUUGCCCAGGCUGGAGUGCAGUGGCACAAUCUCUGCUCACUGCAACCUCUGCCUCCCGUGUUCAAGCAAUUCUCCUGCCUCAG